ensembl:snoRNA SNORA70 Small nucleolar RNA SNORA70
CUGCAGCCAGUUAGGCCCACUGUUCCCGCUCCCGUGGGAGCCUGGUGUGCAGUGGCUUCAGACAGCAGCCUGCUUGGUAGUGUAUGCAGCCUGUUGCUUCUACGGGUUGCCCAAAGGCACCUAGGAGACGCCU